GGCUCUCACGGGCGCAAGGGAACUAGAUGUCGCUUCCUUUUGCCCAGAAAAUAGUAGUUAAUAUUCUGCCACCGGUGCUUCCACCUGAGUCUCGGGCGCGCGCCGUAGCAGCUGGGCCAGCGCGCCGAGGGUACGUCGGCCAGGCCGGUGGCCGGGGGCAGCAGUAACAGGUUGCGUGCGGGCCAGUGCCAGGCGGCACCCGGAGGGUGGCGGCGCUGCGGGCUCAGCCAGUAGUCGCCCAGGCUGCGGCGGGCGGCGGGCGCCGGCAAGACCGGGCCCCGGCUGCCCCAGAAACACAACUCCUGGUCCAGGCGGUGCGGGGCCGUGGCCUGGGGCCGCCGGGACAGAAGAAAAUUCACCACGAAGUGAGCAGUCUCGGUGAAUAGCAUGGUGUCCAGCCGGUCUGGCCCGACUUCGGCCUCUCUUUAAUACCUGCCUGGGCGAGGAGGGGGAGGCCUGAAAACCCAUAUUCCCCCCGGGCCCGGCUGUUUUUAGCAGAAGGCCAGGAGGCGUCAGCUGGCAGAGGGGUUGGGGGCAGAGCUGGUCUCUCUCGUGAGGUCUAGUCUAGUCUGCCCCCACUAGCCGCUUCAGUGGGAGGGGGCUGGUCACCAGAUCUCCAGGUUCCCCAGAGACACUCCUCCCCAGGGUCAAGGACAGAAG
rnacentral:lncRNA from 1 species